AUUGAACGCUGGCGGCAUGCCUUACACAUGCAAGUCGAACGGUAACGGGCCUUCGGGCCGGUGAGAGUGGCGGACGGGUGAGUAACGCGUGGGAACCUGCCCAUUGGUCUGGGAUAACUGCGGGAAACUGCAGCUAAUACCGGAUGUACCCGCGAGGGGAAAGAUUUAUCGCCGAUGGAGGGGCCCGCGUCAGAUUAGGUAGUUGGUGAGGUAACGGCUCACCAAGCCUACGAUCUGUAGCUGGUCUGAGAGGAUGAUCAGCCACACUGGGACUGAGAUACGGCCCAGACUCCUACGGGAGGCAGCAGUGGGGAAUAUUGGACAAUGGGGGCAACCCUGAUCCAGCAAUGCCGCGUGAGUGAUGAAGGCCUUAGGGUUGUAAAGCUCUUUUGCCAGGGACGAUGAUGACGGUACCUGGAGAAUAAGCCCCGGCUAACUUCGUG
rnacentral:rRNA from 1 species